UACGUAGGGUGCGAGCGUUGUCCGGAUUUAUUGGGCGUAAAGAGCUCGUAGGCGGCUUGUCGCGUCGGAUGUGAAAGCCCGGGGCUUAACUCCGGGUCUGCAUUCGAUACGGGCAGGCUAGAGUUCGGUAGGGGAGACUGGAAUUCCUGGUGUAGCGGUGAAAUGCGCAGAUAUCAGGAGGAACACCGGUGGCGAAGGCGGGUCUCUGGGCCGAUACUGACGCUGAGGAGCGGAAGCGUGGGGAGCGAACAGG
rnacentral:rRNA from 1 species